CUGCAGCCCGAGUGGUGGUCGAUAUUAUUGAGCCUAAAGCGUCCGUAGCCGGACCAGUAAAUUCUUGGGUAAAUCGUGUAGCUUAACUAUACGACUUCCGGGUAGACUGCUAAACUUGAGACCGGGAGAGGCUAGAGGUACUCCUGGGGUAGAGGUGAAAUUCUGUAAUCCUAGGGGGACCACCAGUGGCGAAGGCGUCUAGCUAGAACGGGUCUGACGGUGAGGGACGAAGCCCUGGGGCACAAACCGGAUUAGAUACCCGAGUAGUCC
rnacentral:rRNA from 1 species